rnacentral:rRNA from 1 species
CUUCCGCCGGCGACCGGCGCACGGGUGAGUAACACGUAUGCAACCUGCCCCUGUCAGGGGGACAACCCGCCGAAAGGCGGGCUAAACCCGCGUAUAUGCCACCAGGGCAUCCCGGAGGCAGGAAAGGCUUCGGCCGGACAGGGAUGGGCAUGCGGCGCAUUAGGCAGUAGGCGGGGUAACGGCCCACCUAACCGACGAUGCGUAGGGGUUCUGAGAGGAAGGUCCCCCACACUGGUACUGAGACACGGACCAGACUCCUACGGAAGGCAGCAG